CCUAAAAUUUAUCUUUCCUUGAAAGAUAAAUAACUUGGGCUACAUGCAGAUUUAUUAUGGCAUGGACGAUUGAGUCUAGAUGCUAUAAAAUUCAAUAACAAUAAUCAGUAGCGAUGAAAACCUUGGGUAAGUUUGAGUGAAUAUUAAAGUUAUGGUGAUAGGAAAGUAAAUCUGCUACUAAAG
rnacentral:sRNA from 1 species